rnacentral:rRNA from 1 species
AUACAUAGGGGGCGAGCGUUGUCCGGAAUGAUUGGGCGUAAAGGGCGCGUAGGCGGCCCGGUAAGUCUGGAGUGAAAGUCCUGUUUUUAAGAUGGGAAUUGCUUUGGAUACUGUCGGGCUUGAGUGCAGGAGAGGUAAGUGGAAUUCCCAGUGUAGCGGUGAAAUGCGUAGAGAUUGGGAGGAACACCAGUGGCGAAGGCGACUUACUGGACUGUAACCGACGCUGAGGCGCGAAAGUGUGGGGAGCAAACAGGAUUAGAUACCCUGGUAGUCCACACUGUAAACGAUGAAUGCUAGGUGUAGGGGGUAUCGACCCCUUCUGUGCCGCAGUCAACACAAUAAGCAUUCCGCCUGGGGAGUACGGCCGCAAGGUUGAAACUUAAAGGAAUUGACGGGG